rnacentral:rRNA from 1 species
GGCCGCGGGAAUUCGAUUCAGGCCUAACACAUGCAAGUCGAACGGAAAGGCCCUGCUUGCAGGGUACUCGAGUGGCGAACGGGUGAGUAACACGUGGGUGAUCUGCCCUGCACUUCGGGAUAAGCCUGGGAAACUGGGUCUAAUACCGGAUAGGACCAUCGUUUAGUGUCGGUGGUGGAAAGUUUUUCGGUGCAGGAUGAGCUCGCGGCCUAUCAGCUUGUUGGUGGGGUAAUGGCCUACCAAGGCGUCGACGGGUAGCCGGCCUGAGAGGGUGGACGGCCACAUUGGGACUGAGACACGGCCCAGACUCCUACGGGAGGCAGCAGUGGGGAAUAUUGCACAAUGGGGGCAAGCCUGAUGCAGCGACGCCGCGUGGGGGAUGAAGACGUUCGGGUUGUAAACUCCUUUCAACCAUGACGAAGCAUUAUGUGACGGUA